rnacentral:lncRNA from 7 species
ACACUUCACAGCUUUAGCCCAUCUCUCAUAGUGACACUUAUAUUCUGCUUUUAUCCAGAGUGUGCUGUGAAGAAGCCACUUGCAGCGUCGCUGAUGCCAUGGCGAAUCUUUAAUUGGAACAGAAAGUCGGUGUUGCCAGGCAUAAGCAGAAGAUAUCAGCAAGAAUACUGUGGUAGAGUUCAUUGUGUUUUUGGCUAGACUCAACUUUGAGGCUCAGCGCCUCAUCUCUGCUACUGCCAGAAGCUGCUCACUCUUGGCAUAGAAGAGAUACGCUGCACUACCUUGCUGCUGAGUAUAGAAAGAGGUUAACUUUGCGUCUGUCUGCACUUCUGUAUCCGUGCGCUUGCUGUUGAACUGGAUGGCUGUUGUGGUAAGUGCUAACUCCAAAGCUGGAGUUCCUCAUACCAAGAAGCUCUACACUCAACACCAAAACAGGCAGACUCUAUGGGAAGGGAUACUCUAGGUCUGAGAGAGACACUAAAUCCAGUAUUGGUUGUGGCAUUGCUGAAGCAAAUUAUGGCUGAAAUGGCUUCUUUUGAAUCACAAACAGAAUAUCCCUUCAGCCACCAGUAACUCAAAUCCUUGGUAAAACCAGCUCCUUGCUAAAUUCAUCACAAGCCACAGAUACAAACACCCCCCAAAAAAUGUACUACUUCUCUAGUCCCUUCAGAUUGUCAUCGAGUUGCCCUCAAUAUGAGCUGAAGAGAGGUCUGGUCCCUGUACUGCAGCCGGAGACACAGAGAUCGGGUUUCCAGAACGCUAGCAAUCCCCAGCUUGCCGCAAAGUCAGAUGGAGACGAGUGGCCAUGGAGACCACUCAGGAAGAAAAAGGAAAUAAAGAAGAGUGACAGUUUACAGGGGAAGAGUCGUGUGAAAUAUCAGCAGAGCAGCAUCAGUGGUGGCACAGAGGGAAAAGCCCCACAACAGAAGUGCCCCCAAAUCGUCACACACCAAUGUCCAUGACUUCAUGAGCAGCAGCAACUCAGGUAAGCAUGUGCUUUGCAGAUAGACAAAGCCCAGUCUGUGUACAGGUUUUUUUCCUAGUGGCUGUGAAAUUCAGAGGUGGGAGAGAAACCUGGGCUGUAUCAUAGACUGCCGGUGGUCCACCCCCUCCACCCAGCCCUGUAGACCGUCCAAAACAUUGUCAUUGCACCCCAGAAGGCAAGCAGACCUGGGAUAGAUCCAGAAUGGAUUACAACAUAAUCCAAUUCACAGGGAGGGGUAUUUUUGAAAGAGGAUUAUGGUUUUUUUUUUUUUUUUUUUUCUGGCUGCCUGCCAGAAAAUAAAUAAAUGCUGUAACUCUCAUGUAAUGUUUUUAGAAGGUAUGGCAAUGGAAAGAGAAGGCUCUUUUCCAUGUCCAUGUUAGAGAGCAGGAGGAAGAAAGCUGAUUUUUGCAGCAGUGUGCCAAGCAAUCUCAGAGUAUGCAAGUUAGAAAUGCUGGUGUUUCCCACUGAGCGUUCAAGAACAGUAUGAAUCUGAAGAAAAUGGUGCUUCAUUUCUAAUCAGAACAAUGUAAUAUGGGUGUUGGGUCUGCAUCCCAGCAUCGAAAGGCCUCCUCCUGAACCCUUUGUGACCUUCAGGGAGGUUUGCAUAAUUAGCUUGAUUAAAUACAGCACAAUUUUAGCACCAGGGACCAAAACCCACAAAUUACCGAGGCUCGCAUGUUUUGCAAAAUAAUACCAUUCAUGUGAUUAUUUGUUUUGCUCUAAUCAUUUUUGAAAUAUUAUUCCAUUGCUUAGAUUUGAAUUGCUGGUUGUAACAGAUAGCCGGUUUGCAAAUAAAAUGUAAGUCCC